GGUGGGGGAGAGGGGAGCGGGGCCGACACAGGCCUAAGCCACCACAUAAAAAGUCAGACCAUCUGCUGGAAGAACCACAUGGAGAGGCCCUGAGUCAACAUGGAGAGGAAGAAGGACUUGACUGAAUCCAGCCUUCCAGCUGUCCCUACCAAGGUGCCAGGCAUGAGAAUGAAGCUGUCUUGAACUCUGAAGACCAGCUUAGCCACCAGGUAAAUGCCACUAAGUGACCUCACUCAAUGUCAUGUGGGACGGAAGAAUCACCCCGCCAAACCCUUCCUGGAUCCCUGACCCAGAAAUUUGUCAGAUGUAAUGGUUGUGAAAAGCCAUUCAAUUUGGGGGCAGUUUGUAUGCAGCAUAGCUAGCUGGUAUGAUACAACAGCCUGCAAUUCAGGCAGCAGCAGCACUAACAACGAUGAA
rnacentral:lncRNA from 10 species